CCCGCUAACUGCUUCACAUCAACGCCUUCCCCUAGUCUUGUCUCUCUUUUCCAUUCAUUCACCACAAAUCCCCACACGCUGAGACGGAGAGAAAAGAAAGGGAAGAGAGAAGAGAGGGCUGAACGGAGAAGAAGGAAGGGAGGGGGAGGACCGCCGCCAAUGUGUCCUGCCACAGCCGCCGCCACCGAGCCGCCACUUUGUCCAGCGUUCGUUCAUAAACAGCACCAAAAAGAUUUACAACCAGCAAUUUCAAUAUGUGUACAGAAAGAAAGUGACUGAGAAACUGAGUUUGCAUUCAGAAGUAAAUCUGUUGAAGAUGCUGGUUUUUAGGGCAGCGCUUCAAAACAUUUGCAAUCACCAAAUGUUCCGUAAAUUGCCAAAGUUUUGCUAGAGCUGAAGAUUACUUGGCUAGAGGCUCAAGGCCUAUUACAGCCCCCUCUUGACCAUGCUCCCUACAUUGUGGUGAUUGAAGGUUUUGAAUUUGAAGGAUGAGUUGUGGCAUGAGAAAAUCCAAAUAAAAUAAAAUGGUGUGUUACCAAGUGGAUAUGCACAGAAGAUUGGGUUCUAAAUAUGGGAAAAUUGGCUGAACUACGGAAGAUCUAGUAGGCUCAACGUAAAAAUUGUCUCAAGUAGUAACCAAGUUGAGUGUCUCUUGUUGAAGGCUAUCACGUCGGCCAAGCUUCUUAUCGGUGAAGCAAUCAAGUCCAUGAGGUAUGCAUUCAAGGGUUGAUUGCAGCGCAAGUUGAAGAAUUGCAGCAUGACAUGAAUUCAGGUUUCCUCUUGCUUAGUGUUGACUGCAACUAUGCAUAUUGUCAUGAGAAUUUUCGUGCAGUGUUGUUUCCUUCUUCUUUGAGCUUUGUUUGAGAUUUUUUUGUUAUGAUUUUUUUAUGUCUAUUUUUCUGUAAUUGAGAAAAAGGCUAAUCAUGGUAAAGUGAGAAAAUGAAAAAGCCAUUAGUGAAAAGAGGCAAAAGAGAUAAAUUGAGAAAGCCAAAGUAAUUUUUUAUGUAUUUGAUUUUUGUUGAACUAGGAUUAGUUCUUCUUAGUCAAGUUGGGAUAACAUUUGGUGGUUGCUGAACUAGAUUGGAGUUUUUCUUAGUCAAGUUGAGAUGGCACUUGGUGGAUACUAGGCUUAGGUUAAAAAUUUGGUAGGUGAUACUAGAUGAAUUAGGUUGUAAUUCAUUGGUAUUGGUGCAUGUAAUAAGUUUGAUUAUAGUUGAAAUUUCACCAUGGUUGUGGUGGAGACUGGAUGUAGGUUUCAUUGCACUUGAAAACCGAACUAGGAUAUAUACUUGUGUGAUUCUCUUUCUCUGCUUUUGAGUCAACCCCCUUUCUCAAGUUCUAAAAGAUCUUGACAAGGGUUACAUGUUAAAAAAUUACCAUCAUUAUCACUAAUCAUAACAUGAUCAUUAC